rnacentral:lncRNA from 1 species
CAAUAAAACGGCAGGCUUGUCUUUGAUAAAUUCUAAGGCACUUUCCAGGUCUCUGGCUCUGUAAUUCCAUAAACCUGCCUGUUCCCUUUUUCUUGGGAACCCUAACCCAUGUGUGAACAACUAUUUCCCACAAGCUAACACUCAUGUGGGUUUGAUUUUUCCAUGGGGGACAGACACGGGAGAAGGUACAGGUAGAUCCAGCCAUACUCACUCUCCCGAGUGUGUUGAAUGUCUGUGGCCAGGAUAUUUCUGUAAAUUUAUGUUGAUUUUUAGAAUUAAAACAGCAUUCUAACAAGCUCAGCUCCUGGAGGAACGAAUAACCAUCACCAAGCAGAACUGUAUUUCCUUGGAGUCCUGAGACAUAGUAAUUACAGCCUCAGACCAGGAGCCUUAGGUAUUAAACUCGGAAUUUAAGCCCGGCCUUCACCUCCUUUUGCCUGGAGUCUGAACCAAGCUGGCCAGGGCAAAAAUCCUGGAGGUGCCGGAGCCGCUCCAGGGCCGCAUUCUCGAUGCACCGUGCUGGCGAGUUUAAUGGAGACCAUAUGCCGAGUUCCUGGGAAUCAGACCAGAUGGCUCCCGGGGAGUGUAUUUUAGCUCAACCUGCGGCUAAGGGACAAAAGUGAUCAUCAGGGGGCGGGGGAAGGUACAGUGAGAGCGGCGGUGCGACUUUUAAUUACUGUUCUCGUCAACAGAAAUCAUAAAUUGCAAUCUUGAAUGGACCUGGAAGGUCUUGUGCCAGAAUGGAAGUGCUGAGAUCUGUCCCUGCCAGACAGUGGGUGUGGAGAGCGUGGUGGAGGAAAGCCAACCAACUAUGGACUGAAACCUCUACAAACUUCUGACAACUCAUUUCUUUGCAUCGCUGAAUAAUAUCCCAUUGUGGGUAUGGACCAAAGCUUAUCCAUUUACCUACUGAAAGACACUUUGGCUCCUUCCGAUUUGGGAAGUUUAAAUUUUUAAUGAAGUCCAGCUUAUCAGUUAUUAUCAACUGACAAUGCUGAGGACUCCUGGUCAG